GGGAAGCUGUCUCUGGAUGAGUUCCAGGCGUUCUUCUCUGACGGAACGCUGAACGAAGAAGAGCUGGAGAAGCUGUUUCACACCAUCGACUCUGAUAACACCAGUAAUGUUGACACUAAGGAACUGUGCGACUACUUUGCCAAGCACAUGGGGGACUACGAGGGAGUCCUGGCCUCGUUGGAAACGCUCAACCUCUCAAUCCUCAAAGCCAUGGAUUUCACCAAGAAGGU